rnacentral:rRNA from 1 species
UACGUAGGUGACAAGCGUUGUCCGGAUUUACUGGGCGUAAAGAGCGCGCAGGCGGUCGAUCAAGUCGAGUGUGAAAGCCCCCGGCUCAACUGGGGAGGGUCAUUCGAAACUGGUCGACUCGAAGGCAGGAGAGGGUAGUGGAAUUCCCGGUGUAGCGGUGAAAUGCGUAGAGAUCGGGAGGAAGGCCGGAGGCGAAGGCGGCUCACUGGGGGUUAUCUGACGCUGAGGAACGAAAGCCAGGGGAGCGAACGGG